rnacentral:rRNA from 1 species
UGGGGAAUAUUGGACAAUGGGGGAACCCUGAUCCAGCCAUGCCGCGUGUGUGAAGAAGGCCUUUUGGUUGUAAAGCACUUUAAGCGAGGAGGAGGCGCUCUAGGAUAAUACCCUAGAUACGUGGACGUUACUCGCAGAAUAAGCACCGGCUAACUCUGUGCCAGCAGCCGCGGUAAUACAGAGGGUGCGAGCGUUAAUCGGAUUUACUGGGCGUAAAGCGCGCGUAGGUGGCUAAUUAAGUCAAAUGUGAAAUCCCCGAGCUUAACUUGGGAAUUGCAUUCGAUACUGGUUAGCUAGAGUAUGGGAGAGGAUGGUAGAAUUCCAGGUGUAGCGGUGAAAUGCGUAGAGAUCUGGAGGAAUACCGAUGGCGAAGGCAGCCAUCUGGCCUAAUACUGACACUGAGGUGCGAAAGCAUGGGGAGCAAACAGGAUUAGAUACCCUGGUAGUCCAUGCCGUAAACGAUGUCUACUAGCCGUUGGGGCCUUUGAGGCUUUAGUGGC